UACGUAGGGGGCGAGCGUUACCCGGAUUUACUGGGCGUAAAGGGGGCGUAGGCGGCCGUGAAAGUCCGGUGUGAAAACUCACGGCUCAACCGUGGGACUGCGCUGGAAACUACACGGCUUGAGGACGGUAGAGGGAGACGGAACUGCUGGUGUAGGGGUGAAAUCCGUAGAUAUCAGCAGGAACGCCGGUGGAGAAGUCGGUCUCCUGGGCCGUACCUGACGCUGAGGCCCGAAAGCUAGGGGAGCAAACCGG
rnacentral:rRNA from 1 species